rnacentral:hammerhead_ribozyme from 4 species
AUGCGAAACCGUCCUCCGUGCGGGAGCGGAGGCGGUCGUCCGGCGGUGGCGCGUCGGACCUGAUGAGCAGCCAAGC